AAUGCGUUUUGAGAUGGUCCUGCGGCCUAUCAGCUAGUUGGUGGGGUAACGGCCUACCAAGGCUACGACGGGUAUCCGGCCUGAAAGGGUGAACGGACACACUGGAACUGAGACACGGUCCAGACUCCUACGGGAGGCAGCAGUGGGGAAUUUUGGACAAUGGGGGAAACCCUGAUCCAGCGACGCCGUGUGGAGGAUGAAGGUCUUCGGAUUGUAAACUCCUUUUAGAGGGGAAGAAAAAAAUGACGGUACCCUAAGAAAAAGCCACGGCUAACUACGUGCCAGCAGCCGCGGUAAUACGUAGGUGGCGAGCGUUACUCGGAAUUACUAGGCGUAAAGCGUAUGUAGGCGGUUAGAAUAAGUCUUUAGUGAAAUUUCUCUGCUCAACAGGGAAGGGUCUAAGGAUACUGUUUGACUUGAGUGUUGGAGGGGGAGACGGAAUUCCUGGUGUAGCGGUGAAAUGCGUAGAUAUCAGGAGGAACACCGAUGGCGAAAGCAGUCUCCUGGCCAAAUACUGACGCUAAUGUACGAAAGCUAGGGUAGCAAACAGGAUUAGAUACCCUGGUAGUCCUAGCUGUAAACGAUGUUCACUAGAUGUGGGAGGUAUCGACCCCUUCCGCGUCGACGCUAACGCAUUAAGUGAACCGCCUGGGGAGUACGGCCGCAAGGUUGAAACUCAAAGGAAUUGACGGGGGCCCGCACAAGCGGUGGAGUAUGUGGUUUAAUUCGACGCAACGCGAAAAACCUUACCUGGGCUUGAACUGCUAAUGGUAAAAGCCGGAAACGGUGAUGACCCGCAAGGGAGUUAGUAGAGGUGCUGCAUGGCUGUCGUCAGCUCGUGUCGUGAGAUGUUGGGUUAAGUCCCGCAACGAGCACAACCCUUAUCCCAUGUUACCUGUAGCAAUACAGGGUCUCUGAGGAAACUGCCAUUGAUAAAAUGGAGGAAGGUGGGGAUGACGUCAAGUCAUCAUGGCCUUUAUGUCCAGGGCUACACACGUACUACAAUGGUCGGUACAGAAGGUAGCGAUAUCGCAAGAUGGAGCAAAUCCUUAAAGCCGGCCUCAGUUCAGAUUGUGGGCUGCAAUUCGCCCACAUGAAGUAGGAAUC
rnacentral:rRNA from 1 species